rnacentral:sRNA from 1 species
GCUGUACCGGUUAGAUUGGGAAUCUCAUCAAUUAAUCCUUAACGCCGAGAAUGCUUGCCUCGCUAAUGGCGUGCCGAUAUGCGCGGUCGACGCGUAGGGUCGGAUUACAAAGGCGGGGAGGGCGCUCAAAUCCUGUUUUACUCGGAGUUUCAUCACAUCAUCGGUACAGCUUUUUU